rnacentral:lncRNA from 1 species
GAUAAACAUUGGGAACUCAGGCAAAAGCAAAUUCAUCAAAAAGGUUCCGAGAAUUCAACUUUCAGAAUGCCUUUCUUGUCCCCUGAUUCCACACUUGUCCACUGCUUCCCAAGUGGACUCCCUGCCACUCCAUCAUCCCCAGAACACCGGGCUCCUGCUGAGAGCUUUUCCUCCAGGCACCCUAGCUGGCAUCCAGCUGGAGUGAGUCCCAUUUUUAUUGGUAUUUUAUGUCCACUAAAUUAUUUCAAGCUGUUUUAUUCAUCUUGUGCUGCAGUCCCCAAUGGAAAUGCCCUUCUUCAUUGAUUUAUAAAAUUCUGAUUAUGAGGUUGUUUCUUGUCUUAUGUCCUUUGGGAGUGCUACACUGAAAGAAGAAUAAGAUUAGGACAGAAAUCAAAGAUAUUCUGUUUUUCUUCUUUUUUUUAUUGUGUGUGUGUGUGUGUGUGUGUGUGUGUGUGUGUGCGUGUGUAUUGUGUUAUUUGUGUGCACAUGUAAUCAAUCACACUCCAUCUUUUGAUUUGUUGACACAGUUUCCUACUGAGCCUGAAACUAAUAGAUAUGGCUAGCUCUACAGGCCCAUAGCUCCAAGGAUACACCUACAGAGAGUGCACCCCUCCCACCCAGUGCUGGGGUUGCAGGCAUGUGCUCACAUACCACAGAUUUGUGUGAGCUCUGGGGAAGCAAAUUCAAAUUCUCAUAUUUAUAUGGCAGGCACUUACCAACUGAGGCAUCUCCCUAACCCUGUAUACAGUGUACCCAUGGUCAGUUCAAAAUCAUUACAGGACCUUUGACUCCAUUCUUUGACAUUGGAUUUUUUUUUAAUCUAUAUUCUUUAAGUUCUCCAAACUGCAGAUAUUCUAAGUACGUCUUUUUUAUUGAUCUUAAACACAGUUCUGUGAUCAGUCAGUACAUUUUGCAUGCUUGAAAUAUUUUACAUUACUCCUUUUUUAUGGCCUAGAACAUAUUGGAAAGAUUAUGUAUUUUGUCAAUGUAUUCGAGAAUGCUCUGUACAAAUUAAUUAUGCAAAGUGACUUGCAGUGCUCACAUUUUCUACAUAUUCACUAAUUUUUCUCUGUGUGAAUAAUCACUUAUUGAUCAGGAAACAGCUUAAGCCCUACUUACAGUGUUCUGCGUCAUGAACUUCUAUUGCUAGGACAGCAUGCUGUACUGCUGUCCAAGGAACCUAUCUCCUUAUCAUAAGUAAAUACCCACUCUCAUAGUUUUCCUUCUGAAAUCUACUGUUUAAUUUUAAUGUAAUCCCCCUAGCUUCCUGAAAACUGCGGUUAAUGUGAUACAUACUUUCCAUCCAUUUACCUGUUAUUUAUUUGUGCCUUUUUAAUUUUAUAUGGGCAUAUUUCUGAGCCUUUCCUUCAAAUUCAAUGUGACAGUCUCUGCACUUUUACUAGCAAUUUUGGACAAUUUACAUUUAAUGUAUGCAUUGAUAGGGCUGUUUGUGAAUCCUCUCUGCUGCUAUUCUUUGUGUUCCUUCCUCAUUUACCCAGAUAACUCCAGUCUUCCUUUGAAAUAAUCUUAGCACCACUUAAAUGUUACAUUUCUUUUUAUGUAUUUUCAUAUUAUUAUUGCAUAUUGUGACUGGUAACAUUUGGACUUAGAGCAUACAACUCACAGUUAGUUGGCUUCCAGACAAUAUAAUGCUUCUUCAUGUACACUGAUUGCUUAGCCUGGGUGCGUGUGUCAUUGUGAGAUUUAGUUUUAAAUGCAUUAUAAAUACAGCAAUGCCUAGAUAAUUUGUGGGUAUGCAUCAAUUAUUAUUUUAAAGAUUUGUACAGGAUUAUAGAAUACUUCACACACAUAGUUACUAUAUUUAGUUUCCUCAUAACUUCUGUUAGUCCAGGUUGCAUUAGUACUAUUUCCCUUAGACAAUGACCAUUUUAAAAUACCUAUUGAAGUGUCAGCCAUUGAGUUGUUGAUUUGCAUCCCUGACAACAUCUUUAUAUGGUCUUUACUUUGGUUGGGUUAUUUAUGUGCCUGCCGAAGAAUUCCAGAUGGACAAUUCUUUUCUUUUGCUGGUUU